UACGGGGGGGGCAAGCGUUGUUCGGAAUUACUGGGCGUAAAGGGCUCGUAGGUGGCCAACUAAGUCAGACGUGAAAUCCCUCGGCUUAACCGGGGAACUGCGUCUGAUACUGGAUGGCUGGAGUAUGGGAGAGGGAUGCGGAAUUCCAGGUGUAGCGGUGAAAUGCGUAGAUAUCUGGAGGAACACCGGUGGCGAAGGCGGCAUCCUGGACCAUUACUGACGCUGAGGAGCGAAAGCGUGGGGAGCAAACAGG
rnacentral:rRNA from 1 species